AUUAUACAACGAUGCUGUACAAGCAGUGAUCUAUAUACAGAACCCGAAAACCAAGAUGCCAACAGCUGCACAUCCUGGGAUCAUGGAAGUUUCCUCGCCAUAAUCUUAGAAACAGAUACAAUUUUGCACCACUAUCACGUCAGUGUUCCAAGAACUUGCUCAGAACAGUUUUUUUUUAAAGGGAUUUCAUCUUCCUCGUCAUCUUUCUCGGACAUUGCAGGUGUAUGCAACGCACAACGUAUAACAGAGUUGAUCUGUUUUCUCAAGGUGGCAUUGUCAAUAAAAAUAUCAGUGAGCAUUUUUCUCAGCUGAUCAUCUGUUGUCCUUGCAUCAUCGCCGGCUAUAGCUUGACUUCUGUCUGCUGCUGUAAUGGAACUUUCAACAUCUUGUGCGAGGAGCUGGGCCUGCUCAAAUGUAUGAACCUCAGGUCUUUACCAAAGAAGUGGGUAGCCAAAAUUGCAGCUGUGGCAAAAGCAAAGAACCUCAAUACUCUAUGUAUGAGUGGAUCGGAUCUCAUUACACAAGAGAUGACCAUAAAGAUUAUAGAGCAGCCUACUCAAGUGAAUAUUGCUCUCAAGGCCAAGGAACUCUUAAUCAGAUGAAAGCUCAACAGAUGAUGAUGAAGAAGAAGAAGAAUUGUUAGAAAAUGUAGCAAUUUUUUUUUAUGAAAAAGGGAUUUGUAUGAAGAAAAAUGUAUAAUAAAGAUGAAUCAAAAAAGAAAGAUGAUAUUACUUGUUCUGAAUCAAGGACAUGCUCAUGCAGACCGUCCUUUCCUCAAAAUAAAUAAAUAAAUAAAUAAAAAGAUGGCAGCUACACAGAGUGGUUCAAACAUGGACCAGAACCUGGCAGCGAGUCUAAUGGCAAAUCUGAAGGAAGAACCUAAGGUAGUCUGAAUGCUUUCUAGUGCAGUUAGUGGCUUUCUAGCUCGCACGGAUCUCAUACCCAAAGUUUGUACAGGUUUUCCAAAAGGCUUUCUAGCACAAGGGUUGUAAUAUUGUUUCAUAGUAAAUUCUCAAGCUGUUGCUUGAGGACUGGAUGUAAGUCACUGUUGACCAAACCACUAUAAAUAUCUUGUGUUCCUGUUU